rnacentral:rRNA from 1 species
UACGUAGGGUGCAAGCGUUAAUCGGAAUUACUGGGCGUAAAGCGUGCGCAGGCGGCUUUGCAAGACAGAUGUGAAAUCCCCGGGCUUAACCUGGGAACUGCAUUUGUGACUGCAUGGCUAGAGUGCGGCAGAGGGGGAUGGAAUUCCGCGUGUAGCAGUGAAAUGCGUAGAUAUCGUGAGGAAGACCAGUGGCGAAGGCGGAUCUCUGGACAGUUCCUGACACUGAGGCACGAAGGCCAGGGGAGCAAACGGG